rnacentral:ncRNA from 1 species
UAAUAUCUGCCGCCGGGCAGGUUUUUACAUCGGUUCCGUGUCGUUAGGCCUUAGAAGAUACGGGGUUGCCGGUGUAUUUUUU